CCAUUAUGCUCCAGGCCCCUCCACCUCCUUCUUCCUCACACAGAAGUUAGACAAAAAGGCAACUGUUGGGAAAAGGCAGGACAUGGAAACAGAAACUCAUGGCAGCAGCUGCUGAGCUAAGUCUUGGGCUUCAGCUUGUGAGUUUAUUAUUGUAACGGAUGUUAUCUGUACCACAGGCAGCCCACAGAGCAGGCAUUCACUGGGCUGCUGGGCUGUGAAGCUGAAUGUGGAUUCUGAUCACAGAGAUCGAACUCAGGACCUUGUGCUUGCCAGGAGGGCACUCGUGCUACUGAGCUAAACCUCUGAUC
rnacentral:lncRNA from 1 species